AUUUUGGCCUCCAUUAGCUUCCCUGUAAAUAAAUUGUAAAUAGACUUGGGCAUCAGCUACAGGUAACACUAUUUGGUGGAGGCAGACGUUCCCCGUACCCGUCAUGGAGCUUCGCAGCGGUCGCAACGGUGCCACUGCAACUUCGGCUCCUGCUGCCGGCACUUCAUCUAUGCCAGCGUCUCCGCCUGCAGCCCCAGCCUACGUCACCGUUGCCCCCCCUCGGGAUCCUGGUGUUUUCACAGGAGUUGGCAGUCCUGAUGUUGAUGACUGGCUCCACUUAUACGAACGUGUCAGCACCAGUCACAGGUGGGAUCUGACUAUUAUGCUUGCCAACGUUCUUUUCUACCUCGACAGAGCUCCAUGAGCAUGGUUCCAGGCUCACGAAGAGAUCUCGAGCAGGGAUCUCCUCAAAGAGAAGCUCCGCGACCUUUUUGGCAAUCCGUUCGGUCGCCAACUCAAUGCCUAGAACGCCCUUGCCACACGUGUACAGACGUCGACCGAGUCCUACGUGUCGUACAUUCUCGACAUCUUGGCUCUUUGUGCCAAGGCUGACCCAAAAAUGUCGGAGGAUGAUAAGGUUAAUCACGUCCUUAAAGGCAUUGCUGACGACGCCUUCAAUUUACUGCUGUUUACGAACGUCAC
rnacentral:lncRNA from 1 species